rnacentral:rRNA from 1 species
GAUGAACGCUGGCGGCGUGCCUAAUACAUGCAAGUCGAGCGAACAGACGAGGAGCUUGCUCCUCUGACGUUAGCGGCGGACGGGUGAGUAACACGUGGAUAACCUACCUAUAAGACUGGGAUAACUUCGGGAAACCGGAGCUAAUACCGGAUAAUAUAUUGAACUGCAUGGUUCAAUAGUGAAAGACGGUUUUGCUGUCACUUAUAGAUUGAUCCGCGCCGCAUUAGCUAGUUGGUAAGGUAACGGCUUACCAAGGCAACGAUGCGUAGCCGACCUGAGAGGGUGAUCGGCCACACUGGAACUGAGACACGGUCCAGACUCCUACGGGAGGCAGCAGUAGGGAAUCUUACGCAAUGGGCGAAAGCCUGACGGAGCAACGCCGCGUGAGUGAUGAAGGUCUUCGGAUCGUAAAACUCUGUUAUUAGGGAAGAACAAAUGUGUAAGUAACUAUGCACGUCUUGACGGUACCUAAUCAGAAAGCCACGGCUAACUACGUG